rnacentral:tRNA from 1 species
GCACCAGUGGUCUAGUGGUAGGAUAAUACCAUGCCACGAUACAGACCCUGGUUCGAUUCCCGGCUGGUGAA